GCUUAGGAAUCUGCCUAUUAGUGGGGGACAACAUUUCGAAAGGAAUGCUAAUACCGCAUACGUCCUACGGGAGAAAGCAGGGGAUCUUCGGACCUUGCGCUAAUAGAUGAGCCUAAGUCGGAUUAGCUAGUUGGUGGGGUAAAGGCCUACCAAGGCGACGAUCUGUAGCGGGUCUGAGAGGAUGAUCCGCCACACUGGGACUGAGACACGGCCCAGACUCCUACGGGAGGCAGCAGUGGGGAAUAUUGGACAAUGGGCGCAAGCCUGAUCCAGCCAUGCCGCGUGUGUGAAGAAGGCCUUAUGGUUGUAAAGCACUUUAAGCGAGGAGGAGGCUACUGAAGUUAAUACCUUCAGAUAGUGGACGUUACUCGCAGAAUAAGCACCGGCUAACUCUGUGCCAGCAGCCGCGGUAAUACAGAGGGUGCAAGCGUUAAUCGGAUUUACUGGGCGUAAAGCGCGCGUAGGCGGCUAAUUAAGUCAAAUGUGAAAUCCCCGAGCUUAACUUGGGAAUUGCAUUCGAUACUGGUUAGCUAGAGUGUGGGAGAGGAUGGUAGAAUUCCAGGUGUAGCGGUGAAAUGCGUAGAGAUCUGGAGGAAUACCGAUGGCGAAGGCAGCCAUCUGGCCUAACACUGACGCUGAGGUGCGAAAGCAUGGGGAGCAAACAGGAUUAGAUACCCUGGUAGUCCAUGCCGUAAACGAUGUCUACUAGC
rnacentral:rRNA from 1 species